rnacentral:misc_RNA from 1 species
AAGUCGUAACAAGGUAACCGUAGGUGAACCUGCGGUUGGAUCAUUAACAAAAACACCCUUAUUAGGCCGUGGCGCAGUCCUAGGAUUGUUGCCCGAACCUUUUAACACCUUUGUGAACCGUUUUAUUGUACUUUGGUAGGUUAAACGAUGUAUUACUCGUUUUUUUGAAGGUUAUUUUUGUUCUAAAAGUGACUGGAUUCGAGGCUUGUACUACGUUGGAUUCCCUCUUCAUUUUGGUGAAGAUUGGAUCCACCUACCGGUUAUAAACUUGAAAUUUUGAAUUAAAAAAAAUGAGUCUUGAAUUAAAUUAUAUUCUAAUUUAAACAACUUUUGACAACGGAUCUCUAGGCUCUC